AAAAAAAAAAAAAUCAGCUAGCCAAAAAAUUAAUAGCAAAAUCAAGAACAUGAUUAAAAGACUAUAUACAGAUAAAUAAAAUAUUAUUAAAAUAAGGCUCCUUUUAAUCUUGAGCGCUAGGAUAUUAGAUAAAUUUGGAAAUUAAUCAUGCUACGUUAUUUACAUAUACGUUUUCCACAAUACAUUACUCCGCAUAUCAAAGUUCGAUUUGGACAUUCAGUAAGUUUGAAACGAUCAAGACUGUUAGCAUUCAUAUCAUACAACUCGAAACAGAAUAGCUCAAGCAUGGAAGGUGAAUACAAAAAAAUAAGAAGAUUUAUUGGAUAAGAUAGCAAAUCAGACAUUAACCCACCUGCGACAAGUGUUUUUAGAUGUGAUCAUCAACACGUCAUCGUGCGGACUGUAAAUUAAAACAGAACACAUACAAUACCUGAUAAUAAACUAAAUCAAGACCAGCUAAUGAAAAAUAUAAACUAACGUGUUUACAAGCAACAUAAUCGCGCUUUCUUGGCAUAAUUGCUACGUCUUUGCCACCAA
rnacentral:lncRNA from 1 species